CAGGAGGACCGGGCGGUCGCUGCCGGCUUGGGUGCUGCCCAUGCCGGGGGAGGAAAGUCCGAACUCCACAGGGCAGUGUGCCGGAUAACGUCCGGGACGCGGGCUUCAAGGCCCGUGGACGGCAAGUGCCACAGAAAAGAUACCGCCGGUGGUCCGCGCUUCGGCGUGGGCAAGCUGGCCGGAAGGGCGCAAGCCCGGAGGGCCGGUCCGGUAAGGGUGAAAAGGUGCGGUAAGAGCGCACCGCCGCUGCAGCGAUGGAGCGGGCAGGGUAAACCCCACACGGAGCAAGACCAAAUAGGGAGGAAAGCCGGUGCUAAGAGUCAGGCACGGCUGCGUACCGGCCCGGUGCGCCAAGGCGGCUCGAGGAAUUGCCGAAACCUCCGGGUAGGUCGCUGAUGAGCGCGCGCGGUAACGCGCCGCCUAGAGGAAUGACCGCAUAGAACAGAAUUCGGCUUAUGGGUCCGACUGCCGA
rnacentral:RNase_P_RNA from 1 species